GCGGGUGUAGCUCAGUGGCAGAGCACAUGCUUAGCAUGCACAAGGUCCUGGGUUCAAUCCCCAGUCCCUCCA
rnacentral:tRNA from 1 species